UCGAUUUCCGGACUACUGAUUGAACUUAGGGCUUCAGUAUCGAACCCUUUACUAACCGAUGACAGGACCCCAAACUCCAGUCUCAAACUUUGGGAAUGCUGACCAACUUGCCCUCUUGCCUCCUGCUUUCGUGGACAUCCAAUCCCAAGACACACAGACUAGGACAGCCAAAUAUCCAAGAAAGGAAGGUUAUUGGAACAUCAUUAAAGACAAAGUUGAUAAGAUGCUGCCUGACCGGCCGAGUGUUUCCAGCAUUGUCUGAUUUAAUUCACAUUUCCACUGGCUGCGGUUGGAACACAAAACAGUACAGCACAGGGUCAGGCCAUUCUGCCCACGAUAUCUCUGCUGGACAUGAUGCCAAAUUAAACCAAUCCCAUCUGCCUGCACAUGAUUCCACCUGGACGUGUAACAGCUUGGUACAGCGACUGCUCUGCACGUGACCACAUGGAACUACAGAGUGUGUGGAUGCAGCUCAGCACAUCAUAGGAACUAGUCUCCCCUCUAAGGACUACACCUCUCACUGCCUCAGUAGCACAAACAACAUCAUCAAAGACCUCAGCUACCUAAAUAUUCUCUCUUCUCCCCUCUCCAACCAAACAGGAGACACUAAAGCCAGAAAGCAUGUACCACCAGGUUCAAUGAGAGCUUCCAUUCCACUGUUAUCAGACUUUGGAAUGACUUCUUGUAAAUUAGGUGGACUCUUGACUUCACAAUCCACCUCAUGAUGAUCCCGCACUGCACUCCUUUGGCAGUUUUUACAUUUCAUUCUGCAUUGUCAUUGUUUUCCCUUGUUCUACCUCAAUGCACUGUGUAAUGAUUUGAUCUGUAUGAACAGUAUGCAGGACAGGCUUUUCACUGUACCUUGGUACAUGAGAAUAAUAA